ACAUACAUAUAAUACCUAUACGGUUGUGAUUCGGCGAAACGGUGAACCGAUGUGUCGGCGAAUCGCGAUAUCCGCGGACGAUUCCAUCCUGUUCCCCGCAAAACCUAUGCAGGUACAUACGUACACGUAUAACAGCACCAACGAAUCAACGGCAACGGAUUCGAUGAGAAUUGAAAUGUGCGCCUCGAGAAAUGCCGCGCGAGUGAUUCGAUACGGGCGCGUCGAGAUUGCGAUCUCGCGUCUUGACGAGAGAACGGAGAGAAAAAUGGUUCCGCGACGAUCGGGCUUGUGUGAAAAUGUUUGGGAGGGAAAAUGUGAUUUUCGCGAGCCUUUCUCAAAGUUCGGAGACCAAUUGCACGAGUAUGUAUUUUCGGAUUUCGGAACUUUGAAUGAUCGUAACUGAGAAUAUACGUUGAAAAAGAAGACGAACCGGGGGACGUUACGAUUCGGGGAUAAAUUACACGAUCGUGAAAAAAUGUUGGCCGAAUUAAAAAUAAUCAAGGUUCGAGGUUAGACCCUAAACGAAUCCACUCGGACCACCUUAUAAUAUAGAUAUCGAUGUAGGUAUUUUCAGACCCACGCGCAAGACUCGAAAUACCGACUAUACGUACAUAUAACACUGCAACGAUUAACGCACGCCGAACUUGGGCGAUCGAGAACGUUGAGUUUCCCGAUCUAAAUUUAGAAAUAUGUCGGUGUGCCCGGAACUUGCUUCGUUAUCGGUAAAAAGUGAAAUACAACCGUGGCGUUGCGGACGGGAAGGUAGAACUUUGAAGCAUAAAAUGGAAGAACUGGCGCCAAAAAGAGCGGACGAAUUCCGACACCCCCCCGCCCCCGUACCAUAUCACGGAUAUCACGUACAAUAUAUAGACGAUCUUUACCUUUACGGUACGCAUAUUCCGCUCCUCGUCUGAAAUAAUUCCUGUCACUCGCGCUGACCAAUUUCCACCUCGCAAACAAUGGCGGCUGACAAUGAGGCAGUGGAAUGAUUACAAUAAUCCCUGUGAAAAUCGUUCAAUUCGUCCGAUUCCGCGUAAAAAUGAGGAUCACGGGUAUACCCGAGGGUCGGUACAACUCGGUUCAUUUGAUACGUUCUGCAUUUUAUCACGUCGGACAAUAUCGUGGACGCGGGCGGUAUACGUCGAUUGCGAUCUUCGCGAUUCUUUGACAAGGCGGGGGUGCAGGUAUCGUCUCUGGUGUAACGCUAUACAAAAUCUACCGAUAUCAUCGUCGACGUUAACUCACCUUUGAAGGUAUUCCUGAAAAGAGUCAUGCUCAUAUUCACGCGUGAUUGUUUCGCACCCUACGUCGAUUCUGCGGACGUCAAGAAUUAAGGGUUAACGGUCUCCGAGUGAAAUCUUGAUUGCGAUGGUGUCACUACUGUGUGGCAACGGUCACUUAUUAACCGAACCGUCCUAAUCAUCGGCGCUCCUUUUUUCUUCUCUCUCCUUCUGUCUCUGUUUAUCACUCCGUUUAUCGCCACGGCAACGCGAUGCUGCGGUAACACGACGGCGACGACGACGCGCAAGAUGGACGGUCGUUCUGGCCUCGGGUUUCAGAUCACCGAGUAUCCGACAGAGGCGGCGAUGUGAUUUCGACGGAGAAAUUCCACAUUCACGAAUCAAUGGGGGAAACCAUGGAGAAAACUUGACAAAAAAAAAAAAAAAGUAAAAAAAAAGAAAAAAAAAAGGGAAAAAAAAAGAAAGAAAGACACAACACCGUGGCACGAGCCGCCGAAAGGGGAACAAAGAGAUUUUUCAAACCAAGUUUCCAGUGAACCGGAGCACCGUCAUGUAUGCAUAAAUAAUGAAAACUUGCUUUCCCUGUUCUUAAUUAA